AGUACCUGACCUAGGUAGAGUGGCAUCAAGUUGGUGGUGCUCAUCUCAUACCUGCCAGGGACAAAACAAUCCCUUGUUUAUCCCAGCGUGGCUUUUGGUCUAUGCACAUGCCUGGUUCAUGCUUGGACACGUGU
rnacentral:snoRNA from 1 species